rnacentral:rRNA from 1 species
UACAGAGGUCCCAAGCGUUGUUCGGAAUUACUGGGCGUAAAGCGAGUGUAGGCGGUUUGCUAAGUCAGGUGUGAAAGCCUUGAGCUCAACUCAAGAAAUGCACUUGGUACUGGGUGGCUAGAGGACCGGAGAGGAUAGUGGAAUUCCCAGUGUAGUGGUGAAAUACGUAGAGAUUGGGAAGAACACCAGUGGCGAAGGCGGCUAUCUGGACGGUUACUGACGCUAAGACUCGAAAGCGUGGGGAGCAAACAGG